rnacentral:rRNA from 1 species
AAUAUUGCACAAUGGGGGAAACCCUGAUGCAGCGACGCCGCGUGAGUGAAGAAGUAUUUCGGUAUGUAAAGCUCUAUCAGCAGGGAAGAACAUGACGGUACCUGACUAAGAAGCCCCGGCUAACUACGUGCCAGCAGCCGCGGUAAUACGUAGGGGGCAAGCGUUAUCCGGAUUUACUGGGUGUAAAGGGAGCGUAGGUGGCAAAUCAAGUCAGAUGUGAAAGCCCGGGGCUCAACCCCGGGAUUGCAUUUGAAACUGGUAUGCUAGAGUGCAGGAGAGGUAAGUGGAAUUCCUAGUGUAGCGGUGAAAUGCGUAGAUAUUAGGAGGAACACCAGUGGCGAAGGCGGCUUACUGGGAUAACACUGACGCUCAUGCACGAAAGCGUGGGGAGCAAAC